rnacentral:rRNA from 1 species
AGGUUAACCGUAUAGGGGAGCCGUAGGGAAACCGAGUCUUAACUGGGCGAAUGAGUUGCAGGGUAUAGACCCGAAACCCGGUGAUCUAUCCAUGGGCAGGUUGAAGGUUGGGUAACACUAACUGGAGGACCGAACCGACUAAUGUUGAAAAAUUAGCGGAUGACUUGUGGAUGGGGGUGAAAGGCCAAUCAAACCGGGAGAUAGCUGGUUCUCCCCGAAAGCUAUUUAGGUAGCGCCUCGUGAAUUCAUCUUCGGGGGUAGAGCACUGUUUCGACUAGGGGGUCAUCCCGACUUACCAACUCGAUGCAAACUGCGAAUACCGAAGAAUGUUAUCACGGGAGACACACGGCGGGUGCUAACGUCCGUCGUGAAGAGGGAAACAACCCAGACCGCCAGCUAAGGUCCCAAAGUCAUGGUUAAGUGGGAAACGAAGUGGGAAGGCUCAGACAGCCAGGAUGUUGGCUUAGAAGCAGCCAUCAUUUAAAGAAAGCGUAAUAGCUCACUGGUCGAGUCGGCCCGCGCGGAAGAUGUAACGGGGCUAAACCAUGCACCGAAGCUGCGGCAGCGAACGUAUCACUUAAAUUUGUUUGAGUGAAUAACGAUUGACGGAACGAAGUGACGUCAAUGCGUUAAUGAAAGUCGAGGCGAAAGCACGACAAAGCGAAUUUAAGGAUACGUUCGUUGGGUAGGGGAGCGUUCUGUAAGCCUGCGAAGGUGUACUGUGAGGUAUGCUGGAGGUAUCAGAAGUGCGAAUGCUGACAUAAGUAACGAUAAUGCGGGUGAAAAACCCGCACGCCGGAAGACCAAGGGUUCCUGUCCAACGUUAAUCGGGGCAGGGUGAGUCGACCCCUAAGGCGAGGCUGAAAAGCGUAGUCGAUGGGAAACGGGUUAAUAUUCCCGUACUGGUGGUAACUGCGAUGGGGGAACGGAGAAGGCUAGGUUGUCCGGGCGACGGUCGUCCCGGUUCAAGCAGGUAGGCAGAGUGAUUAGGCAAAUCCGGUCACUUAAUGC